CCACCCAGGUGCCCCCGAAUUUUGUUUUUAAAUACAACGUUGUGAGGAGAAGAGCCUGAAAAUAAAGCCAUGGCAAAGGAAAUGGAGACCGACCUCACUGGAACACCUGGACCCCGCCAUCCCUGAAGCCGUUCUUGACAAAAAAAUUCAAGGUUAAUGCACAGGGUUAAUGAGGAAAUGGAGCAUU